rnacentral:rRNA from 1 species
UUCCAGACUCCUACGGGAGGCAGCAGUAGGGAAUCUUUCACAAUGGGCGAAAGCCUGAUGGAGCAACGCCGCGUGCAGGAUGAAGGCCUUCGGGUUGUAAACUGCUUUUAUAAGCGAGAAAUAUGAUGGUAACUUAUGAAUAAGGAUCGGCUAACUACGUGCCAGCAGCCGCGGUCAUACGUAGGAUCCGAGCAUUAUCCGGAGUGACUGGGUGUAAAGGGUGAGUAGGCGGCAUGGUAAGCCAGAUGUGAAAGCCUUGGGCUUAACCCGAGGAUUGCAUUUGGAACUAGCAAGCUAGAGUACAGGAGAGGAAAGCGGAAUUCCUAGUGGAGCGGUGAAAUGCGUAGAUAUUAGGAAGAACACCAG